AGUGAACGCUGGCGGUAGGCCUAACACGUGCCAGUCGAACGGCAGCACAGUAAGAGCUUGCUCUUACGGGUGGCGAGUGGCGGACGGGUGAGGAAUACAUCGGAAUCUACUUUUUCGUGGGGGAUAACGUAGGGAAACUUACGCUAAUACCGCAUACGACCUACGGGUGAAAGCAGGGGAUCUUCGGACCUUGCGCGAUUGAAUGAGCCGAUGUCGGAUUAGCUAGUUGGCGGGGUAAAGGCCCACCAAGGCGACGAUCCGUAGCUGGUCUGAGAGGAUGAUCAGCCACACUGGAACUGAGACACGGUCCAGACUCCUACGGGAGGCAGCAGUGGGGAAUAUUGGACAAUGGGCGCAAGCCUGAUCCAGCCAUACCGCGUGGGUGAAGAAGGCCUUCGGGUUGUAAAGCCCUUUUGUUGGGAAAGAAAAGCAGCAGGUUAAUACCCCGCUGUUCUGACGGUACCCAAAGAAUAAGCACCGGCUAACUUCGUG
rnacentral:rRNA from 1 species